rnacentral:lncRNA from 1 species
CCCUUCUACAACGAAAUUUGUUUUACAUGCACACAUAUAAAAAUUGCGGUUUUUAUCCAACGCAAUCAUAGGUUUGAACGUAGUUUUCAAUUUAGACUCGUUUAUAUUUUUUCGUUUGGGCUUGUAUCAUAUUUUCCCUCCGGUUUAUAUGAUCCGUUCAUCCUAUAUUGACUCUUAAAAUUCAAGAGUCUAUCUAAAAAUGAGGGUACUUUUUAUAUGGCCUUCCAAAUACCGUUUCGAUCCCA